rnacentral:lncRNA from 10 species
AGAUGCAACAUAAAAAUUUCAGAGACAGAAGAAAUCUUCCUUUGAGGGCAGUGAUACACUUAUGUGAGAUUUUGAAAAGUGAAAAAUCAAAGGUGGAAUUGACCAGUAGAUGUAAAAGUACAACAAAUAAACAAAAAUGGCAAUGUUGAAAGUGAAACUGAAAUUCAACAGAAAUAAAAGAAAUAGCAGACUGGGGGGAUAUUGACUUUGACACCAUGAUGCCAGAGGAACUUAGUGAUGGCAAACUUAUCAAUAUAAAAUGAGGAUAUUGGUUGUCAACUAGGUUGUGUGGUGGUCCUUGAUCUUGUCCAUCAAGUCCUUUUUCCCAAAGGAUAACUGAAGAAGAUCACAUACAUUCCAACUUAUUGAGUCUGAUAGGUAUUCAUCUGAUGAGCUCCUCUUCAACUGAGGAUUGAAAUGCUGUUUUUCUUCCCUGGUACAAUGUUAAAGCUUUAAACUCUUGUCAAUGAUGUGAUGUUUCAUCUGCAAUGAUCUACACUAGAAAAAUAAAAAUGUAGUUACUGACAAAAAAGCAGACCCCAGACUCAGCUGUCAGAGAGGAGAAGCAGCUGGAUGCUCGGGACUAAGGCUGGACACUGGAGAGAAACGGCUUGACUUCCGAGGGACAGCUUGAUGGUGUAACUUCAGAUAAUAAUCUAAUCUAAAGGGGAAGAUUCUUCAGGGGAAGAUUACCUGCCUACCCCAUACCUUUUUCAGCUCCCCUACCUGCUGAGAGCUACUUUUUUCAGCAAUAAAAUCCCACACAUUUACUAUCCUUCAAUUUGUUCAUUUGACCUCAUUUUUUCUGGACAUCAGACAAGAGCUCAGGAGCCACAAGUGGGGAUACAAAAGGCUCUCACACUGGCCCUUUGCACUCAUGGG